rnacentral:rRNA from 1 species
UACAGAGGUCCCAAGCGUUGUUCGGAUUUACUGGGCGUAAAGGGUGCGUAGGUGGUCAGGUAAGUCUGAUGUGAAAGCUCGGAGCUUAACUCCGAAAUGGCAUUGGAAACUACUUGGCUAGAGGGUUGGAGGGGAGACUGGAAUUCUCGGUGUAGCAGUGAAAUGCGUAGAUAUCGAGAGGAACACCAGUGGCGAAGGCGAGUCUCUGGACAACUCCUGACACUGAGGCACGAAAGCUAGGGGAGCAAACAGG